rnacentral:rRNA from 1 species
AAUAUUGGACAAUGGGCGCAAGCCUGAUCCAGCCAUGCCGCGUGAAGGAUGAAGGCCCUAUGGGUCGUAAACUUCUUUUAUACGGGAAAAAACCCCCGAUUGCGAUCGGGGUUGAUGGUACUGUAAGAAUAAGGGUCGGCUAACU